UACAGAGGUCCCAAGCGUUGUUCGGAUUCACUGGGCGUAAAGGGUGCGUAGGUGGUCAGGUAAGUCGGAUGUGAAAUCUCCGAGCUCAACUCGGAAACUGCAUUGGAAACUACCUGGCUCGAGGUUUGGAGGGGGGACUGGAAUUCUCGGUGUAGCAGUGAAAUGCGUAGAUAUCGAGAGGAACACCAGUGGCGAAGGCGAGUCCCUGGACAACACCUGACACUGAGGCACGAAGGCCAGGGGAGCAAACGGG
rnacentral:rRNA from 1 species